rnacentral:lncRNA from 1 species
UAAUUCCCUUCUCUCUUCUCGACCUUGCUGAGCAGCAAUGAUCCUUUCGAGCAUCUUAAAUAUUCUGUCAACAUCUUCCCGAAGCGAAUCAUCCCGAGCUGCUCGGUUUAGUGGGGGUCUCCCUCUCCUCAUCUCUGUGCACCUGCAUUUCAAAAUGAAGGGUUGAGUAAUAAUUCUCAGUUUAGUAUUUCUCUAAGUACUAUUGUGUAAGGGACGGG